UACAGAGGUCUCAAGCGUUGUUCGGAUUCAUUGGGCGUAAAGGGUGUGUAGGUGGCGCGCUAAGUCAGGGGUGAAAUCCUGGAGCUCAACUCCAGAACUGCCUUUGAUACUGGCAAUCUCGAGUCCGGGAGAGGUGAGUGGAACUGCGAGUGUAGAGGUGAAAUUCGUAGAUAUUCGCAAGAACACCAGUGGCGAAGGCGGCUCACUGGCCCGGUACUGACGCUGAGGUGCGAAAGCGUGGGGAGCAAACAGG
rnacentral:rRNA from 1 species